UUAAGCGACUAAGCGUACACGGUGGAUGCCCUGGCAGUCAGAGGCGAUGAAGGACGUGCUAAUCUGCGAUAAGCGUCGGUGAGGUGAUAUGAACCGUUAUAACCGGCGAUUUCCGAAUGGGGAAACCCAGUGUGUUUCGACACACUAUCAUUAACUGAAUCCAUAGGUUAAUGAGGCGAACCGGGGGAACUGAAACAUCUAAGUACCCCGAGGAAAAGAAAUCAACCGAGAUUCCCCCAGUAGCGGCGAGCGAACGGGGAGGAGCCCAGAGCCUGAAUCAGUGUGUGUGUUAGUGGAAGCGUCUGGAAAGGCGCGCGAUACAGGGUGACAGCCCCGUACACAAAAAUGCACAUAUUGUGAGCUCGAUGAGUAGGGCGGGACACGUGGUAUCCUGUCUGAAUAUGGGGGGACCAUCCUCCAAGGCUAAAUACUCCUGACUGACCGAUAGUGAACCAGUACCGUGAGGGAAAGGCGAAAAGAACCCCGGCGAGGGGAGUGAAAAAGAACCUGAAACCGUGUACGUACAAGCAGUGGGAGCCUCUUUAUGGGGUGACUGCGUACCUUUUGUAUAAUGGGUCAGCGACUUAUAUUCUGUAGCAAGGUUAACCGAAUAGGGGAGCCGAAGGGGAAACCGAGUCUUAACUGGGCGUUAAGUUGCAGGGUAUAGACCCGAAAACCCGGUGAUCUAGCCAUGGGCAGGUUGAAGGUUGGGUAACACUAACUGGAGGACCGAACCGACUAAUGUUGAAAAAUUAGCGGAUGACUUGUGGCUGGGGGUGAAAGGCCAAUCAAACCGGGAGAUAGCUGGUUCUCCCCGAAAGCUAUUUAGGUAGCGCCUCGUGAAUUCAUCUCCGGGGGUAGAGCACUGUUUCGGCAAGGGGGUCAUCCCGACUUACCAACCCGAUGCAAACUGCGAAUACCGGAGAAUGUUAUCACGGGAGACACACGGCGGGUGCUAACGUCCGUCGUGAAGAGGGAAACAACCCAGACCGCCAGCUAAGGUCCCAAAGUCAUGGUUAAGUGGGAAACGAUGUGGGAAGGCCCAGACAGCCAGGAUGUUGGCUUAGAAGCAGCCAUCAUUUAAAGAAAGCGUAAUAGCUCACUGGUCGAGUCGGCCUGCGCGGAAGAUGUAACGGGGCUAAACCAUGCACCGAAGCUGCGGCAGCGACACUAUGUGUUGUUGGGUAGGGGAGCGUUCUGUAAGCCUGUGAAGGUGGCCUGUGAGGGUUGCUGGAGGUAUCAGAAGUGCGAAUGCUGACAUAAGUAACGAUAAAGCGGGUGAAAAGCCCGCUCGCCGGAAGACCAAGGGUUCCUGUCCAACGUUAAUCGGGGCAGGGUGAGUCGACCCCUAAGGCGAGGCCGAAAGGCGUAGUCGAUGGGAAACAGGUUAAUAUUCCUGUACUUGGUGUUACUGCGAAGGGGGGACGGAGAAGGCUAUGUUGGCCGGGCGACGGUUGUCCCGGUUUAAGCGUGUAGGCUGGUUUUCCAGGCAAAUCCGGAAAACCAAGGCUGAGGCGUGAUGACGAGGCACUACGGUGCUGAAGCGACAAAUGCCCUGCUUCCAGGAAAAGCCUCUAAGCAUCAGGUAACAUCAAAUCGUACCCCAAACCGACACAGGUGGUCAGGUAGAGAAUACCAAGGCGCUUGAGAGAACUCGGGUGAAGGAACUAGGCAAAAUGGUGCCGUAACUUCGGGAGAAGGCACGCUGAUAUGUAGGUGAAGCGACUUGCUCGUGGAGCUGAAAUCAGUCGAAGAUACCAGCUGGCUGCAACUGUUUAUUAAAAACACAGCACUGUGCAAACACGAAAGUGGACGUAUACGGUGUGACGCCUGCCCGGUGCCGGAAGGUUAAUUGAUGGGGUUAGCGGUAACGCGAAGCUCUUGAUCGAAGCCCCGGUAAACGGCGGCCGUAACUAUAACGGUCCUAAGGUAGCGAAAUUCCUUGUCGGGUAAGUUCCGACCUGCACGAAUGGCGUAAUGAUGGCCAGGCUGUCUCCACCCGAGACUCAGUGAAAUUGAACUCGCUGUGAAGAUGCAGUGUACCCGCGGCAAGACGGAAAGACCCCGUGAACCUUUACUAUAGCUUGACACUGAACAUUGAGCCUUGAUGUGUAGGAUAGGUGGGAGGCUUUGAAGUGUGGACGCCAGUCUGCAUGGAGCCGACCUUGAAAUACCACCCUUUAAUGUUUGAUGUUCUAACGUUGGCCGUAAUCCGGGUUGCGGACAGUGUCUGGUGGGUAGUUUGACUGGGGCGGUCUCCUCCUAAAGAGUAACGGAGGAGCACGAAGGUUGGCUAAUCUUGGUCGGACAUCAGGAGGUUAGUGCAAUGGCAUAAGCCAGCUUGACUGCGAGCGUGACGGCGCGAGCAGGUGCGAAAGCAGGUCAUAGUGAUCCGGUGGUUCUGAAUGGAAGGGCCAUCGCUCAACGGAUAAAAGGUACUCCGGGGAUAACAGGCUGAUACCGCCCAAGAGUUCAUAUCGACGGCGGUGUUUGGCACCUCGAUGUCGGCUCAUCACAUCCUGGGGCUGAAGUAGGUCCCAAGGGUAUGGCUGUUCGCCAUUUAAAGUGGUACGCGAGCUGGGUUUAGAACGUCGUGAGACAGUUCGGUCCCUAUCUGCCGUGGGCGCUGGAGAACUGAGGGGGGCUGCUCCUAGUACGAGAGGACCGGAGUGGACGCAUCACUGGUGUUCGGGUUGUCAUGCCAAUGGCACUGCCCGGUAGCUAAAUGCGGAAGAGAUAAGUGCUGAAAGCAUCUAAGCACGAAACUUGCCCCGAGAUGAGUUCUCCCUGAGACUUAGAGUCUCCUGAAGGAACGUUGAAGACGACGACGUUGAUAGGCCGGGUGUGUAAGCGCAGCGAUGCGUUGAGCUAACCGGUACUAAUGAACCGUGAGGCUUAACCUU
rnacentral:rRNA from 1 species